UACGUAGGGGGCAAGCGUUGUCCGGAUUUAUUGGGCGUAAAGAGCGUGUAGGCGGCCACACAGGUCUGCUGUGAAAUCUCGAGGCUCAACCUCGAGCUGUCGGUGGAAACUGUGUGGCUAGAGUCCGGAAGAGGAAAGUGGAAUUCCUGGUGUAGCGGUGAAAUGCGCAGAUAUCAGGAAGAACACCAGUGGCGAAGGCGGCUUUCUGGGAAGGUACUGACGCUGAGACGCGAAAGCGUGGGGAGCGAACAGG
rnacentral:rRNA from 1 species